GGGGCCGCGCGCCGCUCGUCACUGACCGCGCCGGGCGCCGCGCUCGCGCUCCGGUGAAGCGCAGGAUGGGCCGGGGGCGUCCGGGCACCCCGCGCCCCGCCGCCGUCCAGGGCACCGGCGGCAGCAGCGCCGUCAGCAAGUGCUCGGCGGCGGAGCGGGGCUACAUCCAGGACCGGUUCCUGCGGCUCCUGGCGGGGCGGCAGCGGCGGCGAGCCCCGCUCGUCCACCGGGGUUAUUACAUCCGCGCCCGUGCUAUAGAUCACUGUGUUCAAGACUUCCUGCAGAAGACCCAAAGCCACCCCAAGACACAGAUCCUGUCUUUAGGUGCUGGCUUUGACUCCUUAUACUUCCGUUUGAAGGACGUAGGUCUUCUGCAUCACACUGUGGUAUGUGAAGUGGAUUUCCCAAAUGUGGCAUGCCAAAAAGCUGCUCUGAUCAAAAGAAUGAAAGAGUUGUCGGCACUGGUGGGAGAUGCUGGAGGGGAAAGAUUAGGAGCCGUUACCUUUUCUGGAGAGGAUUAUAAAUUACUGGGAGUGGAUUUAUCAGAGCUAUCUGAGCUGGAGAGAGCCCUACAGGAAGCAGAACUGGACAAUGAAAUCCCCACCCUCUUCAUAGCAGAGGUCGUGCUCACCUACAUGGAAAACAGCAGGUCAGAUGCCUUGAUUCAGUGGGCAGCAGAGCGUUUCUCCCAGGCAUGCUUUCUGCUGUAUGAGCAGAUGCACCCAGAGGACCCCUUUGGACGUGUCAUGCAGCAGCAUUUUAGCCAGAUGAACUCUGCACUUCGUUCUUUGGCACAGUACCCUGAUUGCAAGGCACAGCAAAGGCGUUUUUUUGAAAAGGGCUGGACCGAGUGCAGUGUCAUGGAUAUGAAUGAGUUUUUCACCUGUUGUACUCCAGAAGAUGAGCAGCAAAGAGUGCAGGCUCUGGAGCCUUUUGAUGAAUAUGAGGAAUGGCAUCUGAAAUGUUCUCAUUACUUUGUGUUGACUGCAUCAAAGGGGAUGGAACCUUCCUGGACUCCAUUGUUAUCCAAUAUGACAGUUCCUCAUCGUGAUGGUCCUGUCAGAAUGGCUGGGAGUGUCACUGCAGCAGUGUGUGCAAUGCACUCUGAAAUUCCUGGCCUGAGACGUUAUGGUCACUGCUCUGUUCUUAUAAAGCCUAAUGUGAUUCUCACCACUGGAGGCUUUGGGGAGGAGGACGGACAGCACUGCCGUAUGAGAAAUUUUCAUGUGCUAAUUAAGCACAUGGGCUACUGGAAAGCUGGCUUUGUGAAAAAGGAAAAUCCUGAUAAAAGAUGGGAUGAGCGGUUGUACCAUACUGUGUCAUGUCUCUCAAACAGUCUGGCCCUGGUGGUAGGAGGACGAACAUCCCCAUCAAGUGCAGGCUUGGGAAUGUUGUGGCUAAAGUUCCCUGAAACCUGUAAUGCCUUGGACCCAGAUGACAUAACAGUGGAGCUUGUAAAUGUGCAGCCUGCUGCGGAACCAGCUGCUUUGCGUUGGAGACACAGUACAACUGAAGUAAUAUUCAAAGGUGAGAAGUACUUGUUUCUGUAUGGUGGUCGCUCUGUUAUGGAACCUGUGCUGGGGGAUUGGUAUUUCCUGCACACUCAAGAACUUUCCUGCACUGUGAUUCCCGUUGAGGGUCCAGUACCAGAAGGCCGUCACUCUCACAGUGCCUGUAGCUGGAAAGGAGGAGUGCUAAUUGCAGGAGGUCUGGGAGCUGCUGAGCAACCCUUAGGUUCAGUUUUCUUCCUGAGGGAGCUUGAACAUGGGUUUCAGUGGCAGACAGUAGAGACACACCCUCCUCUCAUACCAAGGUAUUCACAUACUGCACACGUACACGAUGGAAAACUUCUGCUUGUUGGUGGAGUGUGGUUUCACCCAUCCUCUGUGCCAGGUAUCACUGUCAUUGACUUAAUGACUGGUCUCUGCUUGGACUAUACGAUUAAUGUGGAGCAUCUGGAGUGGCCAUUAAUGCUACAUAAUCAUAGUAGCGUCUUUCUGCCAAAUGAGAAGGAGUUGUUGCUUAUUGGAGGUGGUGGGAACUGCUUCUCCUUUGGGACACACCUGAAUCCAGAGCCUGUCUUGUUGAACCUCAGCAACAUCCUGUCCAGCCACUGACUGGGACCAAACAGGACUGAACGAUGCCGCUGCACUGUGAUGCAGAGGGGCAAGCCAUGCACCAAAGGGCCACAGAGGAAAGGCAGGCAGAAUGCCAUGAGAAGGUACAAAGCAAUGAGCAAAGUGGGAUAUCAGCACCAGAGCUGACUUAGGCAAGAGGUGAUGCACAAUCCUCAAGGUGGCAGCCCAAAACGGUGGACACCGGGCAGGCAAGUGGUCAAAGUAAAGGAGCAGGAGGUAGGAAUCACUGUGUGAUGUGGUUUCAGGCAGUAGCUCAGCUUGUGCCUCUUGCUUCAGUUUUUGUAGGUGCUGCCCACAGCCUUGGAGGGGUGAAGCUGUACACUGAUGAGCAGUCCAAGAAGGUGCUGUGCAGGCUGCCUUUGGAACUGGAUGAGCACUUGAGAUGCCACAGGUGGUGAAGGCUGCAGCAUCGGAUUCUGGAAUCAGUGCAGAGCAGGUGCAGAGGGAUGAGAUGCACACCAGAGUGAUGGAGGAGGUGGUGUGCAAGCCUCAAUGUGGCAACCUGUAAACUGCAGAGAUACGGUGCCGCAGGUAGCCUCGGAGGGGCAAAGUCGCAUGCUGCUAGGCAGUCCAGGAAGGUGAGGAGGUUGUUGGCUGGGCUGGUGUCUAAUAACAAAGUAUUAUAUGGCAACUUGGUUAAGCAUUUACCUCAGUUUUGCAGGUGCUGUGGGAGCCACCUUUGGAAUUGGAUGAGCCUUUGAGGUGCAGAGGGAUAAGAUGCAUGCCAAAGUGACAGAGGAGGUGUGAAGUGGUGAGCAAAAUGGAAUAUUGACACCAGAGCUGGCUCAGGCAAGCUGCCUUUGGAAUUGGAUGAACACUUGAGGUGAUGAAGAGGAAGCAGGCAACUAAAGGGACAUCCCUGUUAGCUGAUGUGUUUUUUCUGUUGAGGAUGGAUUCAGACCUCUGGGCCUUUGAAAACUAUGAUGAGGGGACCAGGGCUGGAGAGGGGCUGGGAGGAGUGGACAAGGUGCAGAGUGACGAGCCGUGUGCCGCCGGGUGACAGAAGAGGUGUGAAUAGAUGAGUGAAGUGGGAUAUCUGUACCGGAGCAGACUUUAGCAAGGUGCUGCAUUCCUUUCCAGAGGGUUGAAGCUGCACAGCUAGGAGCAGUUUGAGAAAAGGCAAAAGUUAAGUGGUCCGCUUGGGCAGAAUUGCCGAGGGUCCGUGCAACUGUGAUGUAUUACUUUGAAAGCUGGAGCAGAGCAGGUAACAGAGUGGCAUGAAGUGAUUAAAGGAACCUCGUAUUUAGGCGACAAGGCCAUGAUCAAGGAUGGCUACUGAGCAUGGACCGUGACAUGUGGCACCAUGAAAGCUAAGUAGUGGGACAAAUCUGUGGGGAGUGGAGUCCAUGUGUGUCCAAACGUUGGCAUAACGGGAGGGUUAGUCUGUGGGGAGUCAGCCUUGUGCAAGUGGAGGGAGUGAUAUGUCUCGUGACAUGUGUGCCCUGGCAAAGCAGCUCUGGGAUGAGCGGGUGGAGUUGUGCAGCAUGUCUAGAGUGUGUUCAUCAUACGUGUUCCUUAGUUACCUGACGCGUUGAUGUUUGUCUUGGCCUUCAUGUCUGAGAAGCCUCGGGCAUACUCAUCCUACUGCAGUGACGAUAGCCAUCCGUUGCAUCUCUGCGGCCUCCCGUUAUCGGCGCAGUGCCAAUUAUGACUCGUUUAGCAGUGUGACACAGAAGCUCAGUGUUGCCCGUCUGGUUUAGCGUUGUGGGUGCAUUUGGCCAGCCUUUCUUGCAGCUCUGGCUUGGGCCUAACCAUCAGGUCUCAUCUUGAUGACACCCUCUCUCGAGACUGCUUCCAGAGUACUUCCUAUGUCAUCCCAGUCUUCAGUCUUUCCCAGCAAUUUGUCUCCAUCGGUCACGGCAGGUUUAUCAGGCCAGGCUGGAGUGUUUGCCUCACGUGGCCUCGGCACUGUUGUGCGUGCUGUCAGGCUGUGUUUUCUGGUCUGGCAUCAACUCUACUCUGUCUGGUAUUUUCGCAUCCUUAGGUCAUGUUCGUAGUUUGUAUAGUGUGUGUGUGAGGUGGAGCUGCUUUGUCUGUAUAGCAAUUCUUGUUGAUGUUGGAACGAUCCAAGCGUGGGAUGAUGUGAUGAUGAGCAUGGCCUGUUUGGGUGGAGGUUGUAGAAGCUGGUUUUGGGGAUAGCCUGUAGCUAUUGGUGAGCAGGUCCUAGAGUCCUUUCUUUUAUCUUUUGCAGGUGUCACCGGGACAUUCGGAUUCUGGGAGCAAAUCCUUCCGUGAGGCUUGCUGGAGCGUGCACUUCAAAGAACAGGAGGAGUAGAAGUGGUGCAAAGAGGGAAGCAUAUCCCUGUGCUUCCAGUUAGGAAGGGUAAUGCUGUGAAAUCAUGUGGACUGGUGAUGUUGUGUUGAGGUGCACGGUGAUGCAGUUCCAGGGAUGGUUAUGGAAUUGGGGUGAUCUGCCACUCUGGCACGUGAUGAAAUGGAUAAGUUUUGAGUGAGGGAUGGAAUGAGCAGAUGCCAAAUGAGUGUUAGUUUUGGAAUGUGUCUAUCCUUGUAGGUGUGGAUUUCUUUUAUUUCAGGUUGUACUGAAUGUAGAGGUAGUUAAUGUUUUCUUAACAAUAAAUAAAAAAACCCCUCAAGCUGGGUGGUGUGUUUUGA